rnacentral:rRNA from 1 species
CCUACGGGUGGCAGCAGUGAGGAAUAUUGGUCAAUGGGCGCAAGCCUGAACCAGCCAAGUCGCGUGAAGGAUGAAGGCUCUAUGGAUCGUAAACCUCUUUUAUAAGGGAGUAAAGUGUGGGACGUGUCCUGUUUUGUAUGUACCUUAUGAAUAAGGAUCGGCUAACUCCGUGCCAGCAGCCGCGGUAAUACGGAGGAUCCGAGCGUUAUCCGGAUUUAUUGGGUUUAAGGGGCGCGUAGCCGGGAUUUCAAGUCAGCGGGGAAAGUCUGCGGCUCAACCGUAGAAUUGCAGUUGAAACUGGGUGUCUUGAGUACGGUAGAGGUAGGCGGAAUGCGUGGUGUAGCGGUGAAAUGCGUAGAUAUAACGAAGAACCCCGAUUGCGAAGGCAGCUGACUAAACCGCGACUGACGCUGAGGCACGAAAGCGUGGGGAUCAAACAGGAUUAGAUACCCUUGUAGUC